rnacentral:rRNA from 1 species
GGUUAAAACUCAAAGGAAUUGGCGGGGAGGCACACAACCAGUGGAACAUGUUGUUCAAUUCGAAACGAACCGAUAAACCUCACCAGGGUUUGACAUGCACGUAGUAGGGAUCCGAAAGGUGACCGACCCUUCGGGGAGCGUGCACAGGUGCUGCAUGGCUGUCGUCAGCUCGUGUCGUGAGAUGUCCGGUUAAGUCCGGUAACGAGCGCAACCCUCGCGACGUGUUACAUGUGUCACGUCGGACCGCCGGUAUCAAACCGGAGGAAGGUGGGGAUGACGUCAAGUCAGCAUGGCCUUUAUGCCCUGGGCUACACACACGCUACAAUGGCCGGUACAAUGGGUCGCAAAGCCGUGAGGCGGAGCCAAUCCUAAAAAGCCGGUCUCAGUUCGGAUCGCAGGCUGCAACCCGCCUGCGUGAAGUCGGAGUUGCUAGUAACCGCAGGACAGCUAUACUGCGGUGAAUACGUUCCCGGGCCUUGUACACACCGCCCGUCACGUCAUGGGAGCUGGCAACACCUGAAAUCGGUGACCCAACCGCAAGGAGGGAGCCGCCUAAGGUGGGGCUGGUGACUGGGACGAAGUCGUAACAAGGUAGCCGUA